CUUGGUCAUUUAGAGGAAGUAAAAGUCGUAACAAGGUUUCCGUAGGUGAACCUGCGGAAGGAUCAUUAAAGAGUAAGGGUGCUCAGCGCCCGACCUCCAACCCUUUGUUGUUAAAACUACCUUGUUGCUUUGGCGGGACCGCUCGGUCUCGAGCCGCUGGGGAUUCGUCCCAGGCGAGCGCCCGCCAGAGUUAAACCAAACUCUUGUUAAUUAAACCGGUCGUCUGAGUUAAAAUUUUGAAUAAAUCAAAACUUUCAACAACGGAUCUCUUGGUUCUCGCAUCGAUGAAGAACGCAGCGAAAUGCGAUAAGUAAUGUGAAUUGCAGAAUUCAGUGAAUCAUCGAAUCUUUGAACGCACAUUGCGCCCCUUGGUAUUCCGAGGGGCAUGCCUGUUCGAGCGUCAUUACACCACUCAAGCUAUGCUUGGUAUUGGGUGCCGUCCUUAGUUGGGCGCGCCUUAAAGACCUCGGCGAGGCCUCACCGGCUUUAGGCGUAGUAGAAUUUAUUCGAACGUCUGUCAAAGGAGAGGACUUCUGCCGACUGAAACCUUUUAUUUUUCUAGGUUGACCUCGGAUCAGGUAGGGAUACCCGCUGAACUUAAGCAUAUCAAUAAGCGGAGGA
rnacentral:rRNA from 1 species